AGACACUUGGUUAUUGUUUUUCCAACACUCAAAAGAAUUUUUUUAGAAGGAUAAUAUGUAUGCAAACAUGCAGGUGUAUGCGUGUUUUCAUCUCAUGUACUUAUCUGUGUAAAUUUUAUGUAUGCAGCUGUGUGCAUUGUUUGUGAAUAUCUUCUGUUGUGCGGGUUAACACAAAGGAAUGGUUGUAUACAGGAAGGGUGGACUUAUUGGUAGUUCAAAUUUCCCCUCAAUAAUGGGUGUCAUGAAGGAAAUUGAGAUAAUGCAUUUACCAUCACGGAUGCAAUGGACAUGAACUUGGGCAAACUUCGGGAGAUGGUGAAGGACAGGGAGGUGUGGCAUGCUGCAGUCCAAGGGGUUGCAAAGAGUCAGACACGAAUGGGCAACUGAACAACAAUAAUAAGUAGUUUCCUCUGUCUUUUUACUCCAAAUGGAAAAAGGUAAAAUUUAGAGAGGAAACAUUUCAUUCCAAUGUUCUCACUAAGAAAGCUUCAGAGUCAGGUAACUGGUAUCUGGAUGUUCUGAAAAACACACAUCAAGGAGAAAGGCAUCAGUACUUAGAUAUCAUUUCUCAUUUUCUGGAAGAAAUUUAUGACUAAAUGGUCUGAGAAGGUGUUCUUUAAGUUAACCUGUAGUGCUCUUGGAUUGAUUUUGUUUGUAUGUUAACUUGAUUGUUUAUGCUUUUCCCAGGUCAGCCCACUCCAGUGCUCUUGCCUGGAGAAUCCCAGGGACGGGGGAGCCUGAUGGGCUGCCAUCUAUGGGGUCGCACAGAGUCGGACACAAGUGAAGCAACUUAGCAGCAGCAGCAGCUCAAGCCUGGUAAGUUAGUUCAUCAAACUGAGGGGAAUCGUGCUUCUUUUCAGACUGUUUUUAUUUGGCAUAAAGGAGCUGAUCUUAUACUCUCUUCUUACAGUUGGUGCCAUAUUGCAUGCCAGGAAUGGAAAGCAAUGACGUUUUCCUCCAAGCGCAUUGAUCUACAAGAACCCAAGCAAAGAAGAGGUGUGAUAUUUAUGGGAACCUCUUGGAGACUUCAGCAUUGGAUGCACGGACCAGAAUGGUGA
rnacentral:lncRNA from 1 species